GAUUCCCUUAGUAACGGCGAGCGAACAGGGAACAGCCCAGCGCCAAGUCCUGACACUCGACGUGUUCAGGAGAUGCGGCGUUAGUGUACUGGCGCAUCGCACGCUGUCUCGUGCUUCAAGUUCCUUUGACAGGGACUCCCAGAGUGGGUGCUAGGCCCAUAGAGGCUGCGAGACUGGCGUGUGCAGGCCAAUGCAUUUUAGAGUCAGGUUGCUUGAGAGUGCAGCCUAAAGCAGGUGGUAAACUCCAUCUAAGGCUAAAUAUUACAGCGAGACCGAUAGCAAACAAGUACCGUGAGGGAAAGUUGCAAAGAACUUUGAAGAGAGAGUUCAAAAGGACGUGAAACCACUGGCAGGUAAACGGGUGGAACCACGAAGUAUGCCCUGAUGGCAAUUCAACUAUAACAGGUGACUGGCUGUGCAGAAUCUGGGUUUUUUCGGAAGCUGGUUCUGUGCCGUCGGCAGCCAUCUGUAAUAGUGCAUUUUGUUCCGUCAGGUGCUUAAGCCACGUCCGACUAGGUGGUUGGGACGGCCGUAGCGGGUGAUCUCAAGGAAGGUGGCCGCCAGUGUGCCUUGUGCGCGCUUAGGUGGUGUUAUAGCCUUGAAUCCGUGCCGUCACCUAACGUGCUGGUCGGUGCAAGUUUUCCAAUUCUGGAAUCAAUGCGAGUAAUGAUCAUGUGUACUUUUGGUGCCAAGGCAUUGGCGUCAGGUUGCGCUUUUCGUUCCUUCGGGUUCAGAAAGACAGUUUGGCGGUUGGUGUCUCGGUGCUGAUCGUAUGAUUGUGAUUGUGCAAACGGUGGUGCGAGUAGGUCGGUCUCCACCCGACCCGUCUUGAAACACGGACCAAGGAGCCUAACAUAUACGCGAGUCGCUCGGUCUUGAAUAGGCCCGGGAGGCGAAAUGAAAGUAAAGCUAUGAGGCUCUCACGAGUCGCAGUAGCGGCCCGCCGGCUUCAUCUAUUAGUGAUAUGGCGGAGCUGGAGCGUAUACGUUGGUACCCGAAAGAUGGUGAACUAUGCCUGGGCAGGACGAAGCCAGAGGAAACUCUGGUGGAGGUCUGUAGCGAUUCUGACGUGCAAAUCGAUCGUCAGACCUGGGUAUAGGGGCGAAAGACUAAUCGAACCAUCUAGUAGCUGGUUCCCUCCGAAGUUUCCCUCAGGAUAGCAGGCGCUUGUUUAAUCAGUCUCAUCCGGUAAAGCUAAUGAUUAGAGGUCUUGGGACCGAAACGGUCUCAACCUAUUCUCAAACUUUAAAUGGGUGAGAUGCUUGACUUGCUUAAUUGAAGCCAAGCAAUUGGAUGUAAGUGCCUAGUGGGCCAGCUUUGGUAAGCAGAACUGGCGCUGUGGGAUGAACCAAACGUCGAGUUAAGGCAUCUAAUGCAUACGCUCAUCAGAUCCCAGAAAAGGUGUUGGUUGCUAUAGACAGCAGGACGGUGGCCAUGGAAGUCGGAAUCC
rnacentral:rRNA from 1 species